GCCUGAUUGAUUAACGUCCUCCAUUAAAGACUCAGUGACUUUUCAGCUGCAGCUGUAGUGAUUUCACAUCUGUGCGUCCCUUCUUUCAAGUUUCAAUCUGGUCUCUGGUUAUCCCUCCAUUUUAAGGUAAAACAGCAGAGGAGGAAACCAUCCGAGAUUUGAAGACAAAAUACAUGGAGCCCCUGAUGAUGAGAGAAGAGGAAGAGACAAAGAAACACACUGAGGUGAAGCAGACCGAGAGGUGAGGAAAGCAGACGAGACCGGCUGGGAAAUCAAGGAAUGUCGGGUAUGGGAGACGAUUUGGGCCAGCAGGAGAAAGACACACUUCAGACCCGUGUGAUUAGAGCCCGAGUCGGGACAGACGCAACAGCCCCAAGGCUUCCACGUGGACGCCGUGAUCAGCGUCUUCAGAGGUCACGUCUUCUCCUCCACAUCCAGUGCUCCCUCCCUCCUCCAGGAGGCAGGGGGGGUUACUCCGCUACCUGGAGACCGACAGCCUCCCUCAACCGGCCAAUCGGAAGCUCUGAAAAACAGGCCGCUGCUCGGCCAUUGGUCCGCCGCUCCCAGGAACUCAUUGCGCCAUCAGUGGCUGUGUCAUUGUGUCGUCUGGCAGUGCUGAAGCCAAUUAUACUGCCCCUCUUUCUUUGUUCAGACCCGUUGUCUCCAGCGGACCCCCUUCACACACAUAAGGGCGUCCACGCAGACGCCCACGUCUAGAGGUCACGCCCCUUCUGCCCAGAGUGUGACAGCAAGAGGCAGGAGUCUGGGAAUCAGGAGGAUCUGAACAUAUGACAAGUCUCUCCGAACGGACUCUACUGGACUAAACCUCAGCAUGUUUGGUUUCUGUUGCAGAUUAGAGGGCUGAUGUUCUGAAAUAAUUCACUGAUUAUAAUAAAAGUCAUGAGGUUGAUUUCAAAGUGACAAACCAAUUCAUGUUAAAAAUGUAUUCCUUCUUUGCGGGGCAAUAAUAGAAGUCUAGCCACGCUAGAGAGUUCCAGCAGGUAAUAUGUCCACCAUGUUUACCUUGUUAGCAUGUUAGCAUGCAAAUACACGAUAUACUGAGUGUGAUGAUUUCUUAUGAGAUGGCGCUGUGUGGAAUGAUUUAAAGAACAACCAGUGAAUUGAGCUUUACCAUGAUUAUAUAACUUUUUAGGACACAGUAGAACAUGACUUUUUAUGAUAUAGUAUUAGUUUUUCAUGCAAUACAAUGACUUUUUUGAUAAAUAUUUGACUUUUUAUGAAAUGCCACCCAAAGCAUUUCUUUCUGAAACUGUUAAUCACUUUUUACAAUGAUCUUUUUAUGACAAUGUUUAAAAUAUUCUGGCUAAAUUAUGCUGAACUAGGACCUUUGUUCUCAUGUUCGUGAUGAAUUCUAAAAAAAUGUAUGAAUAAAUAGUAUAACGCACAAACUUUAUAAAUACUAUGUUAGUAAAUCAUGUCAAGAAACGUGUAUACUAUGACUUCUUCUGACAGUCUUUUAUAACAUUUAGAAAUACAGAAAAAUUGACAUACAAUAGUGGUUAGUUCAUAAAAGUUAUGAUUAGUCGGUUUCUUUUCAAUAUCUUAAUAUUUGAAUGAGGAUUUUCUUUGUUUUUUCAUUUUUCUAAUGUCAAACACUCAGUACACUUCUUUGGACAUUCACAUACACUGACUUUUUUUUACAAAUUUACCAAAAUUGUAGUCCAUGACUUUGUUAUACUAUACUUUAUUUUCAAACAAAGUAUAGGCUUUUUAUCAUACACUACAAUAAAUCAUUUCUCAGGACAUUGUAUUCUAUGGAUUUUUAUGAAAGAAAAUCUGUGCCCAAUUAACCAUAAAUGAGUUUUUGUCAUCUUCAUUAACACAGGUGGCCCCUGUACUGACUUUUGUGUGCGAUGUGAUGCAGUUGCAAAGGUUUGUGUGUGA
ensembl:lncRNA